rnacentral:tRNA from 1 species
GUAAGAGAAAAAAAUAAUUGUAAAUUAUUAAAAGAAUAAUUCCUCUUUCA